ACGUCGAAUAAUUUGGCCACGGACUGUACAUAAUAUGAGACUAAAUUUAAGAAUUACUAUAAAAUCAGAAUCUUGAUCCUACUUGGACAGAGUGACGGUUUGUUAAAUGUGAUGCGAAAUAAAUGAAGAUUCUCUUUCUUGAAUAGCCGCACCCAGAAUCGAAAGAUGCCCCACAGAAGUCCUCUUUCCCGAAAAAGAAAACGGAAAAGUGAAAAUCUAUUUCUCUGGCACUUCACCCUUCGACGUCUUCUUGCACAAGGAGGGAUUCGAGGUGAAAGAGAACGACGAUCACAUCAAGUACACGGUGUUCGACGACUACGUCAUCAUUUACUUUAAGGACAUCUCAAAGAAUGACGUCGGGAAAUACAAACUGACAGUCAAGAAUGACAGCGGAUCUGCCGAAGCUACCUUCUCACUCUUUGUCACCGGUCUCCCUGGUCCUCCCAUCGGUCCCUUGGAGGUGAGCGACAUCAGCCAGCACACGGCCACCCUGGCAUGGAACCCCCCGGAAUACGACGGGGGAUGUAAAAUCACUCACUAUAUGAUAGAGAGGAAAGAAACAACUCACAACCAAUGGGUGAUAGCUGUCAGCUACUGCAAGG